rnacentral:rRNA from 4 species
GGGUUGUGAGGUUAAGCGACUAAGCGUACACGGUGGAUGCCCUGGCAGUCAGAGGCGAUGAAGGGCGUGCUAAUCUGCGAUAAGCGCCGGUAAGGUGAUAUGAACCGUUAUAACCGGCGAUACCCGAAUGGGGAAACCCAGUGUGAUUCGUCACACUAUCAUUACGUGAAUACAUAGCGUAAUGAAGCGAACCGGGGGAACUGAAACAUCUAAGUACCCCGAGGAAAAGAAAUCAACCGAGAUUCCCCCAGUAGCGGCGAGCGAACGGGGAGGAGCCCAGAGCCUGAAUCAGCAUGUGUGUUAGUGGAAGCGUCUGGAAAGGCGCGCGAUACAGGGUGACAGCCCCGUACACAAAAGCGCAUGUGUUGUGAGCUCGAUGAGUAGGGCGGGACACGUGGUAUCCUGUCUGAAUAUGGGGGGACCAUCCUCCAAGGCUAAAUACUCCUGACUGACCGAUAGUGAACCAGUACCGUGAGGGAAAGGCGAAAAGAACCCCGGCGAGGGGAGUGAAAAAGAACCUGAAACCGUGUACGUACAAGCAGUGGGAGCACCCUUUGGGGUGUGACUGCGUACCUUUUGUAUAAUGGGUCAGCGACUUAUAUUCUGUAGCAAGGUUAACCGAAUAGGGGAGCCGGAGGGAAACCGAGUCUUAAUUGGGCGUUAAGUUGCAGGGUAUAGACCCGAAACCCGGUGAUCUAGCCAUGGGCAGGUUGAAGGUUGGGUAACACUAACUGGAGGACCGAACCGACUAAUGUUGAAAAAUUAGCGGAUGACCUGUGGCUGGGGGUGAAAGGCCAAUCAAACCGGGAGAUAGCUGGUUCUCCCCGAAAGCUAUUUAGGUAGCGCCUCGUGAACUCAUCUCCGGGGGUAGAGCACUGUUUCGGCUAGGGGGCCAUCCCGGCUUACCAACCCGAUGCAAACUGCGAAUACCGGAGAAUGUUAUCACGGGAGACACACGGCGGGUGCUAACGUCCGUCGUGAAGAGGGAAACAACCCAGACCGCCAGCUAAGGUCCCAAAGUCAUAGUUAAGUGGGAAACGAUGUGGGAAGGCCCAGACAGCCAGGAUGUUGGCUUAGAAGCAGCCAUCAUUUAAAGAAAGCGUAAUAGCUCACUGGUCGAGUCGGCCUGCGCGGAAGAUGUAACGGGGCUAAACUAUGCACCGAAGCUGCGGCAGCGACACU